rnacentral:piRNA from 1 species
UCUGAGCAUGCUUCUUCAUAGGAAAG